UACGUGGGGGGCAAGCGUUGUUCGGAAUUACUGGGCGUAAAGCGUGCGCAGGCGGCUUUGCAAGACAGAUGUGAAAUCCCCGGGCUUAACCUGGGAACUGCAUUUGUGACUGCAUGGCUAGAGUGCGGCAGAGGGGGAUGGAAUUCCGCGUGUAGCAGUGAAAUGCGUAGAUAUGCGGAGGAACACCGAUGGCGAAGGCAAUCCCCUGGGCCUGCACUGACGCUCAUGCACGAAAGCGUGGGGAGCAAACAGG
rnacentral:rRNA from 1 species